CGACAAUGAGGGAAGCAGAGCAAAGAGAACAAUCCAGGCUCAGCAGAGCCACCACGGCCACCGUAAUCAGGAGAUUCACAGAACAGAUUUGCACGACUGCCAUGUGAGGGUGGAAGUCGUCUUUUGUUCCCAGCAGCAGGAGGCUCUCAUAGUCGCUUCAAAACCUGGUCAUUAGACUCCAUGAAAUACAGGACUGAGCUGUAGAAGACAAAGUCAACUUUGAAGGAACCAUCAGCGUCCUCCAGUGCAACAGAGAGCACGUGAAACAAGUCUACAAAGUACCUUUGAGCGCAACUCAGAAACGACCAGAGAACAACAAUUUCACUGAUGUCCAUGGAAAGACCUCAUGGAUACAGAAUAUGUGGAUGAAGCUGGGUUUAAUAUGGCCAAGAGGAGAAGUAGAAGCCAGAACAUGAUUGGCGAACAGGCCACUGUGGAAGUCCCGGACCAGCGUGCUGGUGAUGUCGCGUGGUUUAAGAAGCCAUAAUUAAUCACGGGGUUCUCCAUCGUCAUGCCACCUUGGGGCCAUAUGACACCCAACAUCUUCUCACAUUUCUGGGUGUCUUCGUGAUGUCUUGUUUGACCGUGAGCCAUAGGAUGUUGUUCCAAACUACGGGAUAUCGUGUGGUGUC